GCCCCUAUCCUUUGUGUUCAGUUGUCAUGAUCCCCCUGAAAACUGAGGAAGGGGGAUCAUGACAACUGCACACAAAGGAUAGGGG